rnacentral:rRNA from 1 species
AUGGAAGCUCCGCCGCCUCUUUUCCUACCAUUCCUGCUCCUCCUCCUCCUCCUAGCCUCGAACACAGCCACCGCGGCCAGGGAUGGCUGCAGCGAGGGCUGCGACCUCGCGCUGGCCUCCUACUACGUCACGAAGAACAUGAACGUCACCUUCAUCGCGCAGCUCUUCGGCUUCUCGGACUACCGAGCGCUUGCCAAGUAUAACCGCGGGCUCCCCAGGAUCGACUACGUCACCACCGGGAACCGCGUCGACGUCCCCUUCCCCUGCAAGUGCCUCGCGCGGCCCUCCGACCCGGCCUCCACCUACCUCGCCGCCUCCAUCCCCUACAGAGUCGUCACGGGAGAAACCUACGCCAGCAUCGCCAGCAACUUCAACAACCUCACCACCGCCGACUGGCUGCAGGCCACCAAUUCGUACCCGCCCAACAACAUCCCCGACGACGCCAUCGUCAACGCCACCGUCAACUGCUCCUGCGGCGACGCCGGGAUCUCCACGGAUUACGGUCUCUUCCGCACAUUCCCGCUAAGGGACUGGGAUACGCUCGCCUCGGUCGCCGCAACUCGUGACCUCUCGUCGCCGGAGCAGAUGGACACACUUAGGAGGUAUAAUCCCGGCAUGGAUGGUGCCACCGGGAGCGGCAUCGUGUAUAUCCCUGCCAAAGAUCCCGAUGGAAGUUACCGUCCUCUUAAAUCAUCAGCAGGAAAAAAGGUUUCAGCAGGAGCAAUAGCAGGAAGUGUUGUGGCUGGUGUAGUGGCACCAGUCUUGGGUGUCUUGUUAUUCUUGUUUUAUAGGCGAAGAAAGGCGAAACAGAAUGCACUGCGGCUAGCCAGUACAAUAUUAAUGCAAAAGGUGACAUCAUCGGCCACUCAAGCUGACGUAGCUUCAUUAGCUGCUGGCAUUACAGUUGACAAAUCAGUCGAGUUCACAUACCAAGAACUUUUUAAUGCUACAGAAGGCUUCAACAUAACUCAUAAAAUUGGACAAGGUGGUUUUGGUGCUGUCUAUUAUGCUGAGCUUGUAGGCGAGAAAGCCGCCAUAAAAAAAAUGGACAUGCAGGCUACUCAGGAGUUUCUUGCCGAGUUAAAGGUUUUGACACAUGUUCACCAUCUAAAUCUGGUGCGCUUGAUUGGUUAUUGCACAGAGAGUUCUUUGUUCCUUGUCUAUGAAUUUGUCGAGAAUGGCAACUUAAGCCAGCAUUUGCGCGGGACUGGUUACGAGCCUCUUUCUUGGGCUGAAAGAGUUCGGAUUGCGCUAGAUUCAGCAAGAGGUCUUGAGUACAUUCAUGAGCAUACCGUUCCAGUCUACAUACAUCGGGACAUCAAAUCCGCAAACAUCUUGAUAGACAAGAACACCCGUGCAAAGGUUGCAGAUUUUGGUCUGACAAAGCUUACAGAAGUUGGUGGUGCAUCUUUGCAAACACGUGUUGUUGGUACAUUCGGUUACAUGCCUCCAGAAUACGUUCGAUACGGCGAUAUUUCUCGUAAGGUUGAUGUGUAUGCCUUUGGUGUUGUCUUGUACGAACUUAUCUCAGGCAAAGAUGCCAUUGUCCGACCAACCGAUGGAUCUGCUAGUGGUUCAAGGGGACUGGUUUAUCUGUUUGAAGAGGCUCUCACUGCACUGGAUCCAAAAGAAGGCCUCCAGAAGCUGAUCGAUCCAAAGCUGGGAGACGACUAUCCCGUCGAUGCAAUUCUCAUGAUGACGCACCUGGCGAACGCAUGCACAGAAGAGGACCCCAAGCUGAGGCCCACGAUGAGGUCCGUGGUUGUCGCGCUGAUGACGCUCUCUUCCAUGAGCGAGUUCUGGGAUAUGAAAAACCCAGGCUUGGUGAACCUCAUGUCCGGGAGAUGA